GAAGUACGCGGUGAGCGAGGGAAGACGCCUCCACCCUCUCUCCCGCAAGAAGUGACGUCAGUCGCGUGGGAGGACAAUGGCGAGAAGAGGGGACCUGUGAAUGCCUACACUCUGACCGGGCGUGAGAAAUGGCCGGAAGUACCUUCGAUUCCCUCAUUCAAGCAGUAGAGGCUCUGGAGAAAAACGAGAGCAUCUACUUAAAGGGUCGCCCAGGGUCAGGAUGGAGGGGCAAAGUCCGAGCAGGGCCAGUGGGUCGCUGCCCCGUUUUCCUGUGCUGGGUUCGAGUCACCCUUCCACCAGGGCUGAGGGCUCAGCGCCCCUACCGUCUCGUUAGAAAUCCUGCCUUCCCACUCCUGUGGUCCGGUGGGAUUUCCUCCCAUAUUGGAUCACGAUGGAACUGCACAGAAAGUCCAUGCUCAGUUUCUUCCAUGGUUACAGAACACAGGCCCCAGACCAGGAAGGCAUGUUGCUAAAGAAGGGGACCCGAAACCUCAGCUACCAGCACCGAUGGUUCAUCCUCCAAGGAAACCUCUUCUACCUAGAACACCAGACCGAUCAUGCACCCCUGGGCCUCAUCCCGUUGGAGAACUGCCAGGUGGAGCUACACCUUAAGAACCCUAUGCCUUUACCAUCCUGACUCCUGGGGUGGGCGGGCCUACAAGCUGGCUGCAGAAACCCAGGAAAACCUGGAGACUUGGCUGUGGGCACUGGCUGGUGUGAGCUGGAGGUGGCUGGCUGGGCUGCUGCCCCCACUCAAGACCUAAUACCGGGAGCUGUGCCAGGCAGCUGGCCAAGAACCCAUCUCAUGCCCAGAGGACACUGGCUUUCUAGCCACCAUGAGUACCCGUUCCAGCUUCCAGGAGUUGCAUGAGCACUUUGGGAAGCAGAUCUGGGUGCUGCAGGUGGUACCUAGAGAGCUCCAGGCAGCCAGUGACAAUGGAGACAGCACAUCCCAGGCAAAGCUGGAGUAGGAGCUCAACCAGUGUCUGAUGAGUGACUUGAGAGAUGGACCCAAAGCCAAGAGAUACCUACUUGCCAAGACAGCAGACUGUUUUAACAGAGACCCAGGUCCUGGCUCUGUCUCUCCCUCCCUCCCUCAUCCUUACCCCACCCCAACCCCCAUCAAGUAACAAGGCAGGAGACAGACUCAGGUA